rnacentral:rRNA from 1 species
GACGAACGCUGGCGGCGUGCUUAACACAUGCAAGUCGAACGGAAAGGCCCUGCUUUUGUGGGGUGCUCGAGUGGCGAACGGGUGAGUAACACGUGAGUAACCUGCCCUUGACUUUGGGAUAACUUCAGGAAACUGGGGCUAAUACCGGAUAGGAGCUCCUGCUCCAUGUUGGGGGUUGGAAAGUUUCGGCGGUUGUGGAUGGUCUCGCUGCUUAUCAGCUUGUUGGUGGGGUAGUGGCUUACCAAGGCUUUGACGGGUAGCCGGCCUGAGAGCGUGACCGGCGACAUUGGGACUGAGAUACGGCCCAGACUCCUACGGGAGGCAGCAGUGGGGAAUAUUGCACAAUGGGCGGAAGCCUGAUGCAGCAACGCCGCGUGCGGGAUGACGGCCUUCGGGGUGUAAACCGCUUUCGCCUGUGACGAAGCGUGAGUGACGGUAAUGGGUAAAGAAGCAACGGCUAACUACGUG